GGGUUCGUAGCUCAACGGUAGAGUGCCUCAUUGUCAAUGAGGAGGUAUGGGGUUCGACUCCCCACUUACCCG
rnacentral:tRNA from 1 species